UAUCCACCCAACCCCUCUACUAUUAAUUCAAAAACCCGUACUCUUAGAUCUAGAAACAGAGAAACAGAAGCAAGAUGUUGAGCAAAUUCCUCUCAUUUUUCUUACUUGUCUCUGUUCUAAUAACAUUUUCAUCAGUGAAAUCUGAUGAAGGUUUCGACUGUAAAUCCCCUGCCAAAUGUAUAUCUGUAUAUCUCUAGCUGGUUAUGUAUCACCCAACGCUACCACUUACUCAAGCAUCGCAUCUCUUUUCGGGAUAACAAAUUUGAAUUCUUUGCUGGGAGCUAAUUCUUUACCAAUCGGAACGUCACCAAGCAAAUCAGUAGCCGCGAAGGAGACUGUCAAAAUCCCUUUCCCUUGUUCUUGUAAUAAUGGUAACGGAAUAUCUGAUAAAACUCCGAUUUAUAAAGUAAAAGCAGGGGACGGUUUAGAUCACAUCGCCAGGGAUAUAUACUCGUUGUUGAUUACAUAUGAAGAGAUCGCUGAAGCUAAUAAUAUUACCGAUCCUAAUAAGAUUGUAAUUGGCCAGCUUUUGACUAUCCCACUUCCUUGUAGCUGCGAUACUGUGAAUGGAAUGCACACAAAGUGGCUUCUAAAGAAACUUUAGAUAUGAUUGGGAAGAAGUUUGGGGUUAUGGAAAAGACUCUAUUGGAUCUCAAUGACCUUGAUAAUGCUAAAGACCUCAAGGCUGAAUCAGGUUCUUGAUGUUCCAUUAAAAGUUUGUACGUCUAUGGUAAACUCCACUUCACAGGAUUAUGCUUUGCUUGUCUCCAACGGGACUAAUACUUAUGCAUCCAUGGUCAAUGAAUGCGGCAUGCCUGGUGAGUACAAUUUGUUAUAGUAGUUCGGUUUACUCUGAGAAAAAUGCUAUAUUUCAAUGUGGUUGAUGGUAGUAAUACAAACAUGAUCUUUCUAAUGAGUAGGAAUUUUAUUCCAGUAUACGAUUUGAGUUUUUGUUGUAUAUUUUCAAUCACAGGUGGGUCGCCUCGAGCAGAGUCGGGCCUGAGGGUGUGCAGGGUGUGCGACCGCACAGGGCCCAGCUCUGCCUGAGGCCUUUUUCCUUAUGGAUCUAUGAUGUAUACUCACUUUCCCCUCCAAGCCCAGUAAGCCAACGUAUCAAAAAAAGAAAAAAAUCUUUGCCUCUGUUAAGACUAGGGGUGAGCAUUUGGUCCGUAAUCCGCGGAUUUAACCGGGACCAACCGUUCUUUUGCGGAUGGAUGUCCGGACCGUUCGUUAAUGGGUUGGAUGCGGAUGGAAUUUUUGAAAUCCAACGGAUAACAGAUUGGGCCCGGAUGCAACCAUGAAAAUUCGUUGGACAUCCAUAUCCGUUAAAUUAAGGACCUUUAUAUAGUUCUAGAAAAUACUAUGAAUCAUUUAGGAAUUUUUAAGAUGUUUGCUUGGGGUGUUGUACAUGACAUUUUUAUAUUUGUAUGCAUAUAUAGUAUAUGCGGGUUUUAUAAGGAGUCAUUUGUGUUAGAUUUAUUUUCUUUACCAUAAAUUUUAACUAAAACAAAUCCAUUGGAUUAUCCGUACCCAAUCCGUCCAUCUGUGCAUCCAUUGGAUCUGGAUUGGAUGCGGAUGCCAAAUUUGAAAACCGUAGUGCAAUGGAUUGGAUGCGGACGAGGCGAAAACCGGUCCAUACCGGCCCAUACUCACCCCUAGUUAAGACUCGAACGAGUGACAUGGGUGAGAUAAUUAAGUUCCUUAAUCCACUAGGCUGACUACUUGUUCUUGUUAUACUUUUCAGCUCCAGACCAUCAUUACUUUUUGAAUCUUUAUCAUAUUAUUGCCGCAUGCACCUGUCCAUGACUAUAUAUUUUGAGUUUGCUUUGGGUAUUUUUGUGCAUGUAGGUGGACAUUAAGAGUUAUCAUUUGCGUUAACCUUAUAAAAGGCCCUGCGAAAUUUUCGCACAUGGCCCUUCUAGACUCAGGACCGGCUCUGGCCUCAAGCAUCGCCACCAUCUGGUCCAUCAUCAUCUGGUUCAUCUCCAUCUGGUCCAUCACCAUCUAGUUCACCAAAUAAAAAUUUACAUGGUUGGAAUAUCUUGUUGCUCACCAUGAGCUUGGGCUUACUUCUUUCUAUUUCCCUUUUAUCUUAGAAGAGUUUUGGUUUCGUCGGCAUCUUCUAGUAAAUUUACUUUCGAUAUUUAUUGAGUGUAUUUUAUCUGUGAGAAGAUGAUUGAAAUGUACGCUUUUCUUUUUCAUUUUUAUGAUAAUACUAUGCUUAAUUCCAA